rnacentral:RNase_P_RNA from 1 species
ACGGUUGCCUUCAUCGCCUCACGCAAGUGGGGAGGAAAGUCCGGACAGCUCAGAGUGCCGUACUCCUCGAAAGGGAGAACCAUCAAACGUGAUGGGAUAGAAAGUGCUAUAGAAAUUUAAACCGCCGAUGGCUCGUAAGAGCACAGGUAAGGCUGAAAAGGUGGAGUAAGAGCCCACCAGUGGUGGAGUGAUCCACCAGCUUAGGUAAACCUUGCGGGCUGCAAGACCAUGUAAACUAGUGCUUGAGAGCUGCUCGCUCGAUGCUAGAGGGUAGGUCGCAUUAGAUCAAUGAUGAAGCUCGGUGUUGUUUAUUCAACAACGGGAACAGAAUCCGGCUUACACCGUAAAU